UAAAACAACAAUCAAAUGAUAGAAGCUUGAGUGA
rnacentral:guide_RNA from 1 species